rnacentral:rRNA from 1 species
UACGGGGGGGCAAGCGUUGUUCGGAAUUACUGGGCGUAAAGGGCUCGUAGGCGGCCAACUAAGUCAGACGUGAAAUCCCUCGGCUUAACCGGGGAACUGCGUCUGAUACUGGAUGGCUUGAGUUUGGGAGAGGGAUGCGGAAUUCCAGGUGUAGCGGUGAAAUGCGCAGAUAUCAGGAAGAACACCCGUGGCGAAGGCGGCUCUCUGGGACGGUACUGACGCUGAGACGCGAAAGCGUGGGGAGCGAACAGG